GAUGAACGCUAGCUACAGGCUUAACACAUGCAAGUCGAGGGGAAACGGCAUUGAGUGCUUGCACUCUUUGGACGUCGACCGGCGCACGGGUGAGUAACGCGUAUCCAACCUUCCCAUUACUGUGGGAUAACCUGCCGAAAGGCAGACUAAUACCGCAUAGUCUUCGAUGACGGCAUCAGAUUUGAAGUAAAGAUUUAUCGGUAAUGGAUGGGGAUGCGUCUGAUUAGCUUGUUGGUGGGGUAACGGCCCACCAAGGCAACGAUCAGUAGGGGUUCUGAGAGGAAGGUCCCCCACAUUGGAACUGAGACACGGUCCAAACUCCUACGGGAGGCAGCAGUGAGGAAUAUUGGUCAAUGGACGGAAGUCUGAACCAGCCAAGUAGCGUGCAGGGUGACGGCCCUAUGGGUUGUAAACUGCUUUUGUAUGGGGAUAAAGUUAGGGACGUGUCCCUAUUUGCAGGUACCAUACGAAUAAGGACCGGCUAAUUCCGUGCCAGCAGCCGCGGUAAUACGGAAGGUCCAGGCGUUAUCCGGAUUUAUUGGGUUUAAAGGGAGCGUAGGCUGGAGAUUAAGUGUGUUGUGAAAUGUAGACGCUCAACGUCUGAAUUGCAGCGCAUACUGGUUUCCUUGAGUACGCACAACGUUGGCGGAAUUCGUCGUGUAGCGGUGAAAUGCUUAGAUAUGACGAAGAACUCCGAUUGCGAAGGCAGCUGACGGGAGCGCAACUGACGCUUAAGCUCGAAGGUGCGGGUAUCAAACAGG
rnacentral:rRNA from 1 species